GCCUACGGGAGGCAGCAGUGAGGAAUAUUGGUCAAUGGGCGCGAGCCUGAACCAGCCAAGUCGCGUGAGGGAAGACGGUCCUAUGGAUUGUAAACCUCUUUUGUCGGGGAGCAAAAAUCGCCACGAGUGGCGAAAUGAGAGUACCCGAAGAAAAAGCAUCGGCUAACUCCGUGCCAGCAGCCGCGGUAAUACGGAGGAUGCGAGCGUUAUCCGGAUUUAUUGGGUUUAAAGGGUGCGUAGGCGGGAUAUUAAGUCAGCGGUAAAAUCGAGGGGCUCAACCCCUUUCAGCCGUUGAAACUGGUAUU
rnacentral:rRNA from 1 species